rnacentral:rRNA from 1 species
GACGAACGCUGGCGGCGUGCUUAAUACAUGCAAGUCGAACGGAAAGGCCCUGCUUUUGUGGGGUGCUCGAGUGGCGAACGGGUGAGUAACACGUGAGUAACCUGCCCUUGACUUUGGGAUAACUUUAGGAAACUGGGGCUAAUACCGGAUAGGAGCUCCUGCUGCACGGGGGGGGAUGGAAAGUUUCGGCGGUUGGGGAUGGACUCGCGGCUUAUCAGCUGGUUGGUGGGGUAGUGGCUUACCAAGGCUUUGACGGGUAGCCGGCCUGAGAGGGUGACCAGCCACCAUGGGACUACGAGACGGACCAGAAUCGUACGGGGGGCAACAGUCGAGAAUAUUGCACAAUGGGGGGGAGCCUGAUGCAGAAACGCCGCGUGCGGAAUGACGGCCUUCGGGUUGUAAACCGCUUUCGCCUGUGACGAAGCGUGAGUGACGGUAAUGGGUAAAGAAGCACCGGCUAACUACGUG